rnacentral:lncRNA from 1 species
AAAAGAUGUUGUACACAUCAUAGUAUAGAUCUUAUAGUGUGACAAGCAUCUACUAUCACAUAUUUGGAUCAUUUCCCAGAAAACGGAGGGUUGGAAUAAUAAAAUUUUUAUUUCUUUUGCAGAUGGAGCCCAAACAUCAGAUGUUUGUUUGUCUUUCAGAGUUCUUAAAAGAAUGUGAUGCUUCAAAAUGCUGAUGGGACAGGCCUGACUCCAGAUGGCCCUGGGAAAAUCUAUGGGGCCAAAAGGACAGAGUACUGCAAGCCACGCCCAGAGAAGUAGCAGGGGAGCCCAGAGGAAGGCUGUCUCCGGAUGUAUUUUCCAUAACUUAGCACUUGUGUUCUGCACCGCUUGGUCUGGGUCGAGAUUGUGCUCUGUGAGAGAGGUCUUCAGGGUUCAUCAAUUUCACAGAAAAUGAUUAUACUGGACAAGUGAGAAAGCUCACAGGAACUAGCGAACAGAGCAGAAAAACCAAAGUUAGAAGAACCAAAGGUCGACCCAUCAACAGACUUGAGGAAUGAGUGGGCAGAUCCGGCAGGCCAAUGGUGAGAGGCCCUGGACAGCUGGGCACUGGCCAAGAGUCAGAAUCAAUGAAAGGCACAGAGGCAGCUUCAGGCCAGAGCUGAGAGAAGCAGAAGGUGCAAAGGCACUUCGUGUUUAGACAGAAAGCAGAGCAGCCAAUGACUGAAGGAGCUAUUCUUCAUUUUCAAAGGUGAAGACUCACCAUACGUAUGUGGUGGUUGAAAACAAAUUACAGCACCAUGAAAUAUAUGUGCAUUAUGAAAGAUUCAGUAUCUUUGUGCUCAGAAUUGGAGCUGCAGUGUAAUCAUCAUUUCAGUAGAAGAAUUUCCUGCAAUAAUCCCCUGGCCCUGAGCUGCUGGCCCAC